GCACAGAGCACCCCAAGAGUCACACCACGCGCCUGAGAGCAUUGUACAAAUGCUUCUCAAACUCUGUCAGGCUUGGUGCUGUGACCACUUCUCUGGGAAGCCUGUUUCAGUGCCCAAACACCCUCUGGGUGAAGAACCUUUUUCUGAUAUCCAACCUAAACCUCCUCUGACAUAACUUCAGGACAUUCCUUCAGGUCCUGUCCCUGAUCACCACAGAGAAGAGAUCAGUGCCUGCCCCUCCUCUUC